AGUGAACGCUGGCGGUAGGCCUAACACAUGCAAGUCGAACGGCAGCACAGUAAGAGCUUGCUCUUACGGGUGGCGAGUGGCGGACGGGUGAGGAAUACAUCGGAAUCUACUUUUUCGUGGGGGUUCACGUAGGGAAACUUACGCUAAUACCGCAUACGACCUACGGGUGAAAGCAGGGGAUCUUCGGACCUUGCGCGAUUGAAUGAGCCGAUGUCGGAUUAGCUAGUUGGCGGGGUAAAGGCCCACCAAGGCGACGAUCCGUAGCUGGUCUGAGAGGAGGAUCAGCGACACUGGAACUGAGACACGGUCCAGACUCCUACGGGAGGGAGCAGUGGGGAAUAUUGGACAAUGGGCGCAAGCCUGAUCCAGCCAUACCGCGUGGGUGAAGAAGGCGUUCGGGUUGUAAAGCCCUUUUGUUGGGAGAGAAAAGCAGCAGGUUAAUACCCCGCUGUUCUGACGGUACCCAAAGAAUAAGCACCGGCUAACUUCGUG
rnacentral:rRNA from 1 species